AUGUUGCUGUUUUCUCCCCACAGAGCCCAAGAUCAGGGUCCCCGCCAGGAUUCAGUGGAGGACAGUUCAGCCAGCGAAGAGCUGCAGCAGAAAACAAGAUGGGCCUCAGUGAGCUCCGACCUGUGCUUCCCAAUGCACCUCCUGCCUAUGAGAAGAUCUCAUCAGGACCCCUACCUCCUCCCUACUCGCCCUAAUAACAAGUCCUCUGUGGGAUAACCAAAAAGAUGAAACUUCAUGUGUUAUGUCAUUAAACACAUGAUCAAACUUGUGAAGAACAAAUAUUUUGCACUCUAUUCACUAUCACAAGUUUAUAGAAGUAUUCUUCAAUAUUUUUUUUUGGGGGGGGGGGGGGACGACACACUGUAGUUUCAUGUUAAUGUUCUGACCUUUUAGCUCCACAAGCUUUUAUUUCUGAAUGCUGCUCAAAGAACAAGACGUUCUAUCAAUCCCUGUAUGUCUAACAUAACAAUGUUGUACUUUGUAAGUUGUUUGUUCAUUUCAGUGAUAACCUAGCUCCCGCCGAGUCCCCAACAAACCGGAUGUUCCAGUUUUCAGGAAGCAACUUCCGCUUUUGGAGGUUUACAAGGCGACGCUCCAUCUGAACUCCUCCUCCACAUUUACUGGAUUGGUUGAACAGAAUAGAACCUCCCCGGACUAUUUUUUUCCUUCUCGUCAAGACCAGUAUGUAGGGGACCUAGUAUCAGGUGUUUAUUUUAUGCCUGCUACGUUACAUUAGUGACAACCAAAUGUGUAGCAGCAAUUGAGAAUUCUUCUGAAGUUAAUGACAACAGCUUACCGGCUUGAUUGUUUGCUUAUAUCUUUCAAAAUGUACUUAUGAGGAUUUGGAAAGUAUACAUUUCAAUAAAGAACUUAAAAAAUGAAAAACACAGUUGAGUUUACCAAGUGCCUAAUUCACAUGAACACCACAAAACUCUUAUGGAGGACAGUCGCACCAUUUAUUUCCAUGCAGAAAUGUCCACAGUUAUCCAAUGACAAUGUAACCGCUAAAUAUUUUGAGAAAUCUAUGAUAGGAAAAAUAAAUAAAUAUAACUUCCAAAAUGUUUUAUAUGGGCUUCGACAAAUCAUUUAGAAGUUGCACUUCAAUCAUGUUAAAUGCUAUUUUGUCCCAAAUAGUUGCUGGAAAUGGAAGAGAACCAAUGUAAUUACAUUUGGACACUGACCUGCCUCUUUGAGUAGGCAACACACAUCUGAAGAACAUACUACAAUAGGUCUGAGGGAAAGUCCUAAGAGUCUGGUAGACAGAAUAAAACAAGUGCUGUUCCAAUCUAAGGAAUUCAAAUGGAUAUCAUUUCAGAAUUAUAUUCAAUGUCAAUGAAAAGUAUUACCAUCACAUUCAAAUCCAUUUGCUCUACCCUGCAAUCCUAGCAAUUUACAACAUAUGUAUUACUGGCCUUGAAAAGGUUUUUAAAAAACUAAAAAUGUCCAAAUUCACAUUUAAACUUUGUGAGAAGGCAACCCCAAAAUGCUGUUAGCUUAAAGAAAUAGAAAACCAUCACAAAUACAUUUCCACCUAUAUUUCUUGAGCAAACUGAGGCAACUAUAAAGUUUAUCUAGCAUUGCUUAAAACACACUCAGAUAUGCAAAGUAAAAAUGCAGCUCAACCAGGCAGUUUCUCAACCAAACCCCCCCCCCCCACCUUCUACCAAAAACAUUCUAGAAUGUUCUAAAGCAGUCCAGAACACAAAGUUAUCUGGAAUAUGUGUCUGCUUCAUCACAUGACACUGGUACUGGCUUUCAAUCUCUGUC
ensembl:lncRNA